rnacentral:rRNA from 1 species
GAUGAACGCUGGCGGCGUGCCUAAUACAUGCAAGUCGAGCGAACAGACGAGGAGCUUGCUCCUCUGAUGUUAGCGGCGGACGGGUGAGUAACACGUGGAUAACCUACCUAUAAGACUGGGAUAACUUCGGGAAACCGGGGCUAAUACCGGAUAACAUGUUGAACCGCAUGGUUCAACAGUGAAAGACGGUCUUGCUGUCACUUAUAGAUGGAUCCGCGCCGCAUUAGCUAGUUGGUAAGGUAACGGCUUACCAAGGCAACGAUGCGUAGCCGACCUGAGAGGGUGAUCGGCCACACUGGAACUGAGACACGGUCCAGACUCCUACGGGAGGCAGCAGUAGGGAAUCUUCCGCAAUGGGCGAAAGCCUGACGGAGCAACGCCGCGUGAGUGAAGAAGGUCUUCGGAUCGUAAAACUCUGUUAUUAGGGAAGAACAAAUGUGUAAGUAACUAUGCACGUCUUGACGGUACCUAAGCAGAAAGCCACGGCUAACUACGU